rnacentral:rRNA from 1 species
GACCGUGCGCGCCUGUCCGGUAUCGUCCAAGUUCCCAUGAAUGGGGCCAGCAACCCAGAGAGGGUGUCAGGCCCGUAGGACGAGCCGCGACCGUAGCAUUGGGUCUCUCCUUAGAGUCGGGUUGCUUGAGAGUGCAGCCCUAAGCGGGAGGUAAACUCCUUCUAAGGCUAAAUAUGGCCACGAGACCGAUAGCGAACAAGUACCGCGAGGGAAAGUUGAAAAGAACUUUGAAGAGAGAGUUCAAUAGUGCGUGAAACCGUUCAGGGGGUUAAACGGGUGGGCCCUCGAAGGUCGAAAGGUCCCCACUCCCGUCAUCUGUAGGCCGGCUCGUGCUGCUUUCCGAUGCCGCUAUGGCACGGAGCUUGGUGCGGUUGGCCGGUCUACGGGGGCCGCAAGUUGGGGACCCAGUAGGACUCCGCAACCGUCUGGGAGGCCGUCAGAAGGGUUCCGGUAGAAAGCCUCCUCGUGGGGUGGACUCUGGGAUUUUCCGGGCGGUCCUCUCGGCCGUCAAACCUGAAUUCUCCCGCCGGUUCUGGGGACGAGCUUUAAACGGCUGUCGGUUCUCGGUUCCGUUGUCGGGGGAUGCCGCGGAGAGUAGAGUCGGGUCCCACCCGACCCGUCUUGAAACACGGACCAAGGAGUCUAACAUGUGCGCGAGUCGUCGGGUUUUUUACUAAACCCGAAAGCGCAAUGAAAGUGAAGACCGUCCUCGUUGGCGUGUCUAGGGGAGAUCCC